AUGUGAGCACAGUGAGGAAGUCAGUGGUGCCUUUCAACAGCAGUGACAGUGAUGGGAAGGACAAGCUUUAUUCUGGAUGGCCAUGCACAGCUGUCACACCACAAAAUGAAGAGCGUUACGAUCAGAUCAUUCACAUCAAUCAGUGGAUUACAACCAGGGAAUUGCAUACAGAGCUGAAUAUUGGCUUGAAUAGGUUGGAAACAAUGGUGACAACACUGAAAUAUCUCAAAGGUUGUGCUGGGUGGGUCUGACAAAUCUCGCACACUAACAGAAAGAACACCAUAUGCAAGUUUGUCAGGACCUAUUGAACCAAUACGAGGCUGAUGAUGACAGUUUCCCGGGUCUCAUCAUUACCAGUGAUGAGAUGUGGUGUCAACACUACAAGCCAGAGUGACAACAGCAGUCCAUGGAGUGGUGACAUGUGAAUUCCCCACAGAAGAAAAAGUCCAAGGUGCAACUCUCAGCAGAUGCUGAUGGUGGCCCUGGAUGAUGCCCUGCCUGCAAUGGUUUGAUCUGCAUUCUUGUGUAUGUUCAGCCACAGCAUGGGAGAGGCUGGGGAAGCAACAGUGCUUGUCAUAUGGGGAAACCUCCUGGUUAUGGAUGCUGGUGGGAGUAGGGAAGAAAUUGCAUCUCCCUUCCCUGUGCUGCCAUCACCAUUUAUUGCUCUUCGUAUGAGCUGUGUCUCCACACACAAUAUCAUCUAUAAAAUGGACGCUAGCAAGAUUUUCAGAGGUAAGCAUUCCGUUUGGAUACACCAGGGGCUUGCUCACCGAUUCAACGUGCUUCCUCCUGUGUCUUCUGUUUAAAUAUUGUCGUCCUCACCCCAUUUUGUCAGCGCUGAUAAUAGCUAACAACUUACUGCAUGACAUACUCUUCUCAAACUUCGUUGCGUUUCUUCUGUCAGAUGCUCACUGUAAAUCCUUGUAAUGUGAAACAGCUCAUCAGAGUGCAGCUCCACAUUUUCUACCGUUUCUGGUAACUUGUGAGGAGUUGUCACUUCACAUCUAAGAGAUUUCCAGGGAAAGAUGACAGACUCCACAAGCUGCACAUUUCAGAGCCAGAGGAAAUGGAUACUAAACACAAUGUCAUUUAGAUUUAAAAUAAUGGCUCUUAAGUGUUCGCUGUUGUUUGUAAUAAAUAUAAUAUAUAUAAACU
ensembl:lncRNA